UAGUACUGUAGGUGGCAGUAUAUAUUUAAUAAAUCUCCUCAACUAUUGGGCCAUCAGCUGCAGUAGCUAAAGCUGACAUUCUUGAAAAUUCAAUUAAUUUUUCAGUAUCACUGCAAGAGCUCUGAUCAGAGAAAGCAGCUCUGAGAUGUCUCCAGGGCAUGAAUCAGGUACCAUAAAUGCAUAUUGGAUGGUUCCACUCUGCUGACAACAAUGGAUUCCAAGAUGUUUUCAACAUUCUCUCCAUCCAACUGAGUUGGAGGAAAAGAUUUAAGAGGCUGCCAUGGGAUUUCAGUCCUAUUCCAUAUCCAACCCACUAUAACUUAGAAGAAAAUUCACAGUUCUUGCUUAUCUAAUUGUCUGAGGGUAAACCUCGAGACCAAUCCAGAAAUAAAUUGCCAAGCUUCCGUCAAAUAAUUCAAAAGAAGACCCAGGACUCUUGAUGAUAUACUUGAAGUCAUUAAAUAUGAAAGAUGAUAGCAUCUUGGAAGGCAACAGCAGAGGAAAGGAGAAUUUUCACAGGGAGAGGAAAGAGUUGGUACAAGUGAUACUUCUUUAACAAAAUAAUGAUCUCGAUACGUCCUACUUGAACUGUGGUUCGAAGAACAGUAUCAUCAGCAUCACUUAGAGCUGAUGAGAAAUUUAGAAUUUCAAGGCUCCCUCCACCCCAACUUACUGGUGCAAACUCUGUACUGUAACCUGAUCCCCAAGGUGAUUCUAGUGUACAUGAAAGUGUGAGAGUCUUGUUGUUAUGAACAGAUUCUUACAGUACUGCAAUUUAGAAUAUCUUUUAAGAAUGAUAAAGACAACUUGUGUCUCUUGUAUCUGAAAUAAGUAUUAAAGGCAAAAUAUAUAUUGAUAUCAUGGCACUGUUCUUAAGGAAUAAACAUCCAGAUGAAUUACUUUGCAUCUUUUCAUUGGAAAUAAAAAGCCUGGCAGCGGGGGGGAAGAAUCAGAGAGCUCUGAUCAGUGUGUAGAUGUAUCAAAUAUCUAUUUAAUAUGCACCCCAGCAGAGAGCCCAGGCUUUAAAUCAUUGGAAAUAAUCUCUGAAUUUUUAUUCUCAACAUGUUUCACCUUAGGCAAUAUUACAACAAAAUUCUCUGUGGGUUUGUAAACUUAGUGCCACUCUUCUGGAGAAAUGUAAAGGGUGUAUAACUCCUGGUAUAGUCUAACAAGUCAUCAUUAUUAGUGAAUAUAAUUAAGAAGGUUCAUGCAACUGCAUUUAUGGUUCUCCCUAGAAAUGUCUUUGUUCAUACACUGCUGCAACUGAAAACUAUCAUGUAUUCUGGAUGUAAACUGAUUCAAUGAAAACAAAUGGGCCUGGGCUGUCACAUUCCCAAUUACUGUAGUUAAGUGAACUUGGAACAUUUUAAAGUUAGUAACACUUAGAAAUGCAGGAAAUAUAUACUGCUAACUCAAAGUCUCCUAUGUUUUUAAAAAAGAAUGGCAGUUUUUUAAAAGAAAGAAAAAAUC